rfam:Felis catus isolate Cinnamon breed Abyssinian chromosome C1, whole genome shotgun sequence.
GCCUGGGUGGCUCAGUGGGUUGAGCUUCUGACUUCAUCUCAGAUCAUGAUCUCACAGUUCGUGGGCUCAAGCCCCGUGUCGGGCU